UUUAAUCGUCGACGGGUGGUAAAGAUGUACGAAUCGGCCAACGUCUCUGACGACGCAGAUCGUACGGCUUUCCGGCGAGCAGAGAAACAAUACAAACUUUACUACGAACAAGACUCAAAGUUCUCCAGAAAGAAGAAGCUACCUAAACCGGUCGAUUUGUCAUCGGUUCUCGAUUUCAAUUCAAUUUCACAAGAUUUCAACAGAACCGGUGUUUUACCCGACGGAAUUAGGGUUGCAGAGUCUGAUUCCUCUGUUUUCUGCAUCGAGAAUCGUCCUGGGUUUUACUUUAUCCCUAAUGCGUUGAGCUUGGAGGAGCAGUGCAAAUGGAUCAGAGAGAGCUUGACGAGUUUUCCUCAGCCUCCGAAUAGGACAAACCACAAUGCUAUUUAUGGCCCCGUUGCUGAUUUGUUUGAUUCAGCUAAAGCAAACAAGGUGUUGGUUCAGGAGGAUACUAAUAUAUGGAAGUUCUAUGAUGGUGAAGAAGCUACUGCUAAAGUUAAACAACGAAGGUGCAAAUCAGUUUCAGCUUCGGUUCUGUUGAGGAAGCUUCGUUGGAGCACCCUAGGUUUACAGUUUGAUUGGUCCAAGCGCAACUAUGAUGUUUCUCUGCCUCAUAACAACAUCCCUGAUGCACUUUGUCAACUAGCUAAGACACACGCUGCCAUUGCAAUGCCUGCAGGGGAGGAGUUCCGUCCAGAGGGUGCUAUUGUAAACUAUUUUGGCUUCGGUGAUACCCUUGGAGGCCAUCUUGAUGACAUGGAAGCUGACUGGAGUAAACCAAUAGUAAGCAUGAGCUUGGGGUGUAAAGCUAUUUUCCUCUUAGGAGGAAAAUCAAAAGAGGAUCCUCCUCAUGCUAUGUAUCUCAGAAGUGGAGAUGUUGUACUGAUGGCUGGAGAAGCCAGGGAAUGCUUUCACGGCGUGCCCCGUAUCUUCAUUGAUGAAGAAAAUGCAGAUAUUGGCGCACUUGAAUCAGAAUUGCCCCAUGAAAAUGGAGAUUUUAUCGCAGAGUACAUCAAAACUUCGAGGAUCAACAUAAACAUCAGGCAAGUUUUCUGAGUUGCCUGAAUCCACCUGAUGGUCUGCCAAAGUAUCUGUAUUAGCAUCGAGCCAGAAGUUUUUGAGAAGCAGCCUUCUUCUUCUGUUUCACUACUUUGAGUUUUCUAUGUUCGUAGGAUUCAGACAGAACUAAAGUCUCUCUGCCUGGCGCUUCUUUCAACAUUGCUAUGAACUAGGGUUUAUAGAGCUGGUUUAGCGGGUGUGUUAGCUGGCUUGCUAGGCAAGGUAGGUAUGCUCUGUUCAUCUCUAAAGAAAUUCUCAGGAUCCACAGUACUUUUCACCUUCACCAACCGAUCAAAAUUCUCUC